rnacentral:rRNA from 1 species
UACGUAGGCAGCAAGCGUUGUUCGGAGUUACUGGGCGUAAAGAGUGCGUAGGCGGUGCUCCAAGUCCGUUGUGAAAUCUCCCGGCUUAACUGGGAGGGUGCGGUGGAAACUGGGGUGCUUGAGUGUGGGAGAGGUAAGCGGAAUUCCUGGUGUAGCGGUGAAAUGCGUAGAUAUCAGGAGGAACACCGGUGGUGUAGACGGCUUACUGGACCACGACUGACGCUGAGGCACGAAAGCGUGGGUAGCAAACAGG